UGGGGAAUAUUGCACAAUGGGCGCAAGCCUGAUGCAGCCAUGCCGCGUGUAUGAAGAAGGCCUUCGGGUUGUAAAGUACUUUCAGCGGGGAGGAAGGGAGUAAAGUUAAUACCUUUGCUCAUUGACGUUACCCGCAGAAGAAGCACCGGCUAACUCCGUGCCAGCAGCCGCGGUAAUACGGAGGGUGCAAGCGUUAAUCGGAAUUACUGGGCGUAAAGCGCACGCAGGCGGUCUGUCAAGUCAGAUGUGAAAUCCCCGGGCUCAACCUGGGAACUGCAUCUGAUACUGGCAAGCUUGAGUCUCGUAGAGGGGGGUAGAAUUCCAGGUGUAGCGGUGAAAUGCGUAGAGAUCUGGAGGAAUACCGGUGGCGAAGGCGGCCCCCUGGACGAAGACUGACGCUCAGGUGCGAAAGCGUGGGGAGCAAACAGG
rnacentral:rRNA from 1 species